AGAGUUUGAUCAUGGCUCAGAACAAACGCUGACGGCGUGGUUAAGACAUGCAAGUCGCACGGGCUGGCCCAUUGGGUAACUGACGGGUCAGUUAGUGGCGAAAGGGUGAGUAAUGCAUAGGUAACGUACCCUGGGCGCUGGGAUAGCUGCGGUCUUCGGACCUUUAGCGAAAGUGCAGGUAAUACCGGAUGAUGUCUUCGAGUCGAAUGGCUUGAAGACCAAAGGCUUCGGUUGGCCUGGGAGCGACCUAUGUCGUAUCAGCUUGUUGGUGAGGUAACGGCUCACCAAGGCUAUGACGCGUAGCGGGACUGAGAGGUUGAUCCGCCACAUUGGGACUGAGACACUGCCCAGACCCCCACGGGGGGCUGCAGUAACGAAUCUUGCGCAAUGGACGAAAGUCUGACGCAGCGACGCCGUGUGUAGGAUGAAGCCCUUCGGGGUGUAAACUACUGUCAGGGUGAAGAAAGGUACACUUCGGUGUAUUUGAUCGACCCCAAAGGAAGGCCCGGCUAACUUCGUGCCAGCAGCCGCGGUAAGACGAAGGGGCCAAGCGUUGUUCGGAAUUACUGGGCUUAAAGCGCACGCAGGCUGGAAGUUUAGUGUUUUGUGAAAUCCCUCGGCUCAACCGAGGAAUUGCUUAGCAAACUGACUUACUUGAGGCAAGUAGGGGUGCAUGGAACUCCAGGUGGAGCGGUGAAAUGCGUAGAUAUCUGGAGGAACGCCAGCGGUGAAAACGGUGCACUGGGCUUGUUCUGACGCUGAGGUGCGAAAGCGUGGGGAGCGAACGGGAUUAGAUACCCCGGUAGUCCACGCCGUAAACGAUGUCUACUAGGUCGCGGUAGUUCUGACGCUUUCGCGGCCGAAGCAAAAGUGGUAAGUAGACCGCCUGGGGAGUACGGUCGCAAGGCUAAAACUCAAAGGAAUUGACGGGGGCUCACACAAGCGGUGGAGCAUGUGGCUUAAUUCGAGGCAACGCGAAGAACCUUAUCCUGGGUUUGACAUGUUUGGAUGCCCAUCCUGAAAGGGAGUAGGCUGCCUUCGGGUGAAACUUACACAGGUGCUGCAUGGCUGUCGUCAGCUCGUGUCGUGAGAUGUUGGGUUAAGUCCCUUAACGAGCGAAACCCUUGUCGCUAGUUGCCAGCGGGUAAAGCCGGGGACUCUAGCGAGACUGCCGGUGUUAAACCGGAGGAAGGCGGGGAUGACGUCAAGUCCUCAUGGCCUUUAUGCCCAGGGCUGCACACGUGCUACAAUGGCGAGUACAAACCGACGCGAUACGGUGACGUGGAGCAAAUCGGAAAAAGCUCGUCCCAGUUCGGAUUGCAGGCUGCAACUCGCCUGCAUGAAGUUGGAAUCGCUAGUAAUCGCAGAUCAGCUAUGCUGCGGUGAAUAUGUUCCUGAGCCUUGUACACACCGCCCGUCAAGUCAUGGAAGCCGGGAGUACCCGAAGUCGGAUAGCUAACUUUUCGGAGAGGCGUCUGCCGACGGUAAGCUCGGUAACUGGGGCUAAGUCGUAACAAGGUA
rnacentral:rRNA from 1 species